UGGGGAAUAUUGCACAAUGGGGGAAACCCUGAUGCAGCGACGCCGCGUGAACGAAGAAGGUAUUCGUAUCGUAAAGUUCUGUCCUAUGGGAAGAUAAUGACAGUACCAUAGAAGAAAGCUCCGGCUAAAUACGUGCCAGCAGCCGCGGUAAUACGUAUGGAGCGAGCGUUGUCCGGAAUUAUUGGGCGUAAAGUGUACGCAGGCGGUUUAAUAAGUCGAAUGUUAAAGAUCGGGGCUCAACCCCGCAAAGCAUUGGAAACUGAUAAACUUGAGUAGUGGAGAGGAAAGUGGAAUUCCUAGUGUAGUGGUGAAAUACGUAGAUAUUAGGAGGAAUACCAGUAGCGAAGGCGACGUUCUGGACACAAACUGACGCUGAGGUACGAAAGCGUGGGGAGCAAACAGG
rnacentral:rRNA from 1 species